rnacentral:misc_RNA from 1 species
AAGUCGUAACAAGGUUUCCGUAGGUGAACCUGCGGAAGGAUCAUUAACACGUAUCCAACGUUAAAACCCCUGUGAACUUUCAGCCUGCUCUUGUGGCUAAAUCAAGUGGGAGGAACAGUUUUGAUUCUGCUCCAUAUGCGCACGCUGCAAUUGAGCGGUAGAAGCAGUGGCAUGGCGUCCCCAAGCCUCCAGUGAAUGAAAGUGUCACUGGAAAGUGUAAGGAUAACGCUUCUCGGUUGCUAGAGGUCGAUCACCGACCGGCAGACAUGCCACAGGGUCACCGCGCCCCUAAUCACUCCCUCUGAACCGUACGCCGGCGCCGUUGAAAAGCUGCGCUAAAAAAAACCGAACAACUGUUAACAAUGGAUAUCUUGGUUCUC